rnacentral:lncRNA from 1 species
AUGAGGGUGUCACAAUUCGGGGGUGAAGUGUCACAGGUCUGGGUGGGCAUGGGGCAGGCAGCGGGGUGGGGGGCCAGGGGUCGAGGGGGAAUAUCAGGGAGCAGGCAGACACCCACACUGCCCGGCUCAUUGUCCACCAAGACGCACCCUGGUCUGCGUUGCUGCCCCGUCAGACACAGUAGGGAAAUGCUGUGCUUGCACCCGCGCCUUGAUGGAGGGGCUGGCAUUUCCCUUGCACCCAGCUGCAUCCCCAUGCAGAGCACCAAAGAAAACCACUCUGGGCAGGUCAUCCACGUCCCUGCCAGGCUGCUCGUCCUCUCUACACAGUGCCUUGUGUCUGUCCUGCCUGACCAUGUGGUCAGGUCCAUAGAUGCUGCUCCUGAGAGCACGUUACAGGCUUAGCCACCUCUUGGAUGGAGACGCCGAUGAUUAGCUUGAGGACAGAGCACAGCAAGCUGUCUGAGCCUGCACAGCCAGCACAUUGUCCAGGGCACCUGGGAAGUCAUUUUUCAUCCGAGAUAUCUUCUCCCCUCCAGGGCCGGCUGAAUUACGUAAGGUUCUUUGGACCCCAGACAGGCGAAGUGGGGUUAUAGCACCAUGUGAUCUCAGCUACAUUUCCCAUCUCAGCGUCCUGGUUUUGUGCACAGACAUGGUAACUUGGCUCCUUUCCUGCUUGGAAACAUUUGUUUGGAUGUUCUGAGGCUUUCUCGAGGUUGUGGACCCCCGCCAUAGGGUGUUACAUGGCUUUAGAUAAGAAAUCUCCAUAAAACUGCAAGCAAUGUGUCUUCUGCAGUAAAUCUUUCUUCUUAGUCGAGAGUGAAGCAGUCACAUUAUGUUGCUUUACAUUGCAGCCCACCUGUUGCAAGGAAAGUGCCAAGAAAAUUGUACACCAGUGGGAAAGUGUAGAUUGCAUGUAUGGCUUGGACCCAGCGAGAGUCUGUGGGACUGUGGGAUACACAUUUGAAAAAUCACCCCACAUCUCUGAGGCUUUCUUUGUGCAGUAGGAAGGGAAUCCCUGGCUAAGCGGAGACAAGCAAUGUGCUGGCUCAGAUGCUGCAGCCAUAGCUGCUAUUAUGGGAUCUUUAAGGUUGGAAAACCUUAGGUUAGACCUCCGAGACCUUUGCAUUGCAAGGAAAGAGGAUCAGCUGGGCGCUGGGUGGACAGAUCCUGCACCUCGGGGCGCAGGACGGAGGUGUGGGCUUCAUUUCCCUGCUUGAGCUCAGGGCACUGGGCUGCCCCUGCCUGCAGGUACAAGCCUCCCACCCCACAAAGCCAGGGGCUUGCUGCCUAAACAGGAGGUGUGUGAGUCCAGAAAAGCCCCAUACCGAGUGGUUUAAAUGCUAUCUCUUUAUCUACUGGGUAAUUGCUGCUAAUUUAUUACUGCCAUAAAGAUUUUAAAAAC